rnacentral:rRNA from 1 species
ACGAACGCUGGCGGCGUGCUUAACACAUGCAAGUCGAACGGAAAGGCCCUGCUUUUGUGGGGUGCUCGAGUGGCGAACGGGUGAGUAACACGUGAGUAACCUGCCCUUGACUUUGGGAUAACUUCGGGAAACUGGGGCUAAUACCGGAUAGGAGCUCCUGCUGCAUGGUGGGGGUUGGAAAGUUUCGGCGGUUGGGGAUGGACUCGCGGCUUAUCAGCUUGUUGGUGGGGUAGUGGCUUACCAAGGCUUUGACGGGUAGCCGGCCUGAGAGGGUGACCGGCCACAUUGGGACUGAGAUACGGCCCAGACUCCUACGGGAGGCAGCAGUGGGGAAUAUUGCACAAUGGGCGGAAGCCUGAUGCAGCAACGCCGCGCGCGGGAUGACGGCCUUCGGGUUGUAAACCGCUUUCGCCUGUGACGAAGCGUGAGUGACGGUAAUGGGUAAAGAAGCACCGGCUAACUACGUG